rnacentral:rRNA from 1 species
GACGAACCGUCCAAACGUUAUUCGGAAUCACUGGGCUUAAAGGGUGCGUAGGCGGCGCGGAAAGUUGGGUGUGAAAUCCCUCGGCUUAACCGAGGAACUGCGCCCAAAACUACCGUGCUCGAGGGAGAUAGAGGUGAGCGGAACUUAGGGUGGAGCGGUGAAAUGCGUUGAUAUCCUAAGGAACACCGGUGGCGAAAGCGGCUCACUGGAUCUCUUCUGACGCUGAGGCACGAAAGCUAGGGUAGCGAACGGG